rnacentral:lncRNA from 1 species
UUCUCUUUGCAUGCUUACAUAUGAUUAUUUAAGUAUCCAUUAUGCAAGAAUUAGAGUGAGAUUACAUCAUGGUUUGGGCCCAAAUCAAUGCCCAUGCAUCCAUGCACCAAUGUUACUAUUUUUGGCCAAACUUGAAAAGGGUACAAAACUGAAUUCUAUAGCCUAUAUAUACCAUUGCAUUGCCUCAAAAUCAGUACACACACAUUGCCCAAGCCUUGCCAAACCAUUUC